rnacentral:rRNA from 1 species
CCUACGGGAGGCUGCAGUGAGGAAUAGUGGUCAAUGGGCGCUAGCCUGAACCAGCCAAGUAGCGUGAAGGAUGACUGCCCUAUGGGUUGUAAACUUCGUUUAUAGGGGAAUAAAGUGCAGUAUGUAUACUGCUUUGCAUGUACCUUAUGAAUAAGGAUCGGCUAACUCCGUGCCAGCAGCCGCGGUAAUACGGAGGAUCCGAGCGUUAUCCGGAUUUAUGGGGUUGAAAGGGAGCGUAGGCGGGUUGUUAAGUCAGUUGUGAAAGUUUGCGGCUCAACCGUAAAAUUGCAGUUGAUACUGGCAUCCUUGCUUACAGUAGAGGUAGGCGGCCUUCGUUGUGUAGCGGUGCCAUGCUUAGCUAUCACGCAGAACUCCGAUUGCGACGGCAGCCUGCUGGACUGUACCUGCCGCUGCUGCUCGACCGUGUGGGUAUCAAACAGGAUUAGAUACCCUGGUAGUC